GUGGCGAACGGGUGAGUAACACGUGAGCAAUCUGCCCUUAACUCUGGGAUAACUGCGGGAAACUGUAGCUAAUACCGGAUACUUUCCUCGCUGGGCAUCCAGCGGGGAAGAAAGAAUUUCGGUCAAGGAUGAGCUCGCGGCCUAUCAGCUAGUUGGUGAGGUAAUGGCUCACCAAGGCGACGACGGGUAGCCGGCCUGAGAGGGUGACCGGCCACACUGGAACUGAGACACGGUCCAGACUCCUACGGGAGGCAGCAGUGGGGAAUAUUGCACAAUGGGCGAAAGCCUGAUGCAGCAACGCCGCGUGAGGGAUGAAGGCCUUCGGGUUGUAAACCUCUUUUAGCAGGGAAGAAGCGAAAGUGACGGUACCUGCAGAAAAAGCACCGGCUAACUACGUGCCAGCAGCCGCGGUAAUACGUAGGGUGCAAGCGUUGUCCGGAAUUAUUGGGCGUAAAGAGCUCGUAGGCGGUUUGUCACGUCUGCUGUGAAAAUCCGAGGCUCAACCUCGGACUUGCAGUGGGUACGGGCAGGCUAGAGUGCGGUAGGGGAGAAGGGAAUUCCUGGUGUAGCGGUGGAAUGCGCAGAUAUCAGGAGGAACACCAAUGGCGAAGGCACUUCUCUGGGCCGUAACUGACGCUGAGGAGCGAAAGCGUGGGGAGCGAACAGGAUUAGAUACCCUGGUAGUCCAC
rnacentral:rRNA from 1 species